AGAGUUUGAUCAUGGCUCAGGACGAACGCUGGCGGCGUGCUUAACACAUGCAAGUCGAGCGGAAAGGCUCCUUCGGGGGUACUCGAGCGGCGAACGGGUGAGUAACACGUGAGUAAUCUGCCCUUCACUUUGGGAUAACUGCCUGAAAGGGUGGCUAAUACCGGGUAUUCUCCUUGCACCGCAUGGUGUGGGGUGGGAAGUUUUUUCGGUGGGGGAUGUGCUCGCGGCCUAUCAGCUUGUUGGUGGGGUAAUGGCCUACCAAGGCUUUGACGGGUAGCCGGCCUGAGAGGGUGACCGGCCACACUGGGACUGAGACACGGCCCAGACUCCUACGGGAGGCAGCAGUGGGGAAUAUUGGACAAUGGGCGGAAGCCUGAUCCAGCAACGCCGCGUGAGGGAUGACGGCCUUCGGGUUGUAAACCUCUUUCAGCACAGACGAAGCGCCUGUGAAGGUGGUGACGGUAUGUGCAGAAGAAGCACCGGCCAACUACGUGCCAGCAGCCGCGGUA
rnacentral:rRNA from 1 species